GCCAAGAGUCCCCUGAACAAAUUGCACAUACUUGCUUGUCGUCACCUUUUAGAAACAAGGGUGGCAACAGGCAAUUCCGGUCGCAGGUUGGAACGGCCAAGGAGGCUCCCACCAAAGGAACUGAGGGUGGUCCCCCACUUGACCGCCAGCAACCUCUUAUGUCUUUGCCAAUGGAAUUGUCAAGGUCGGGGCUCAGUGACCUUUCCCAUUUAAAAAAAAAAAAAGAAAGAAAAAAUGAGCGCACCAUGUUUUUUGUCAAGCCGGCAUCUGUUUCCACGGAAACCUCAAAGACUCUGGAGUCAGCAGCAGAAAACCCUGGGCCUGGAUCGGCUUUGCCGUUGGCGACGUCCCAGGGCCUCGGCACGUCUGGACCACUGGGCCGGGGUUGUCGUUAGAGAGAAACAGCUAGUGACUUCUCUACUUGUAUCUGAAAAUCAUGCUCGGCUCAUGUGUUCAGGCUAAAUGGCCACCACGCAACAUUCUGCCAUCCUUCCUUGUUGACCUAAACAGCAACGUGCAGGGGAAGAGGGAAGAAGGCAGCCGGCACAGCCCACGACGGGAUGGGAGCGGAAUCGGGUCUACGCAGCCACGCAGAAGCCCGGGCUGUGGUCCCUUCACCCACGGCAGCCCCGGGAAGCCGUUCGGCAGAGCGCUCGGAGGGGAGUCCGGGUUCGUCCGUUCUGCAAGUAGCCCCACUGUGUGUCGGGGCCCAUGCUGCGCCUGGAGAUCACAGCGGUGACCUGAACGAGCUCGGCUUCUUCCGGGGUAAAUGGGACGCAGCAUUCAUCAAGGAGCUGCAGAAACGCGCUUGGAGCUGCGAGCCGCGGGCAGGGGGUCACAGACGGAAGCGUGGGUGUAGGUCAGGGGGGCGCCGUGACACGGAGCAUAUAGGGGAGAACGCCCAAGGGGAGGGACCAUCAGGGUGGCAUCGCCGCACAGCCACACACCCGCCUGUGUGAGCUGCGGGCCGGGGUGGUGACCUACGCCCCUGUUCGGCAGGCACCCACAAGCAGGAAGGACAGUGACGCGCAGAGCAACGCUGGUCUAGUGGGAGGGUCCCCCUGACGCCUCUAAGCCGGCCCCACUCAGAGGCCUGGUCCUCAGGCCCGGUUCCGACCUCACAGCGGGCGUGCGUCAAAAUCGGCCCCGCGAACUGCAAGAGAAACCACGCCUAGGUGUUCUUAAGGAUCGAGUGCAGACGUAUAUGUAGGUGACAGCUUUUCGACAACCCAAAAAGACGCGAUCUUUAAAAAGGAAAGAGAAACAAACUGCGUGCAAAUGCUAGAGAUUCUUUGGCUGACAUUCACAUCCAACCCCUUCAUCUCUGGGUAAGAUGCGGCCACCCAGCCCUCCGGAUGCCAGCGCCAGCCCUGGGCCCCACAGCACGUCCCGCUUUCCACCCCCAGGCCCUGCUGCUCCUGGCUCUGGCACAGUCUUUUAGAGUCUGUCCGUGGGAUACUUUUUCUUCUGAACAUUGGGGAAAAUAUUUGUGCAUGACAAACAGGCUACGUGCGUGGUCACAAUUUUUGUAGGGAGGCGACCCUGCUUGCAACAAGCAGUGCAUUUGCAGCCCCGCGGCAUGGGUGAGGCAGCUCAGCACAGGAGCUAAAGCACACGGGCCCAGAUGCGACGCUCGUGGCUGGCAGUGACGUUGGUUCUGGCCUGAGAGCUCACUGGGCCGUCACGGGAGCAUCUCUGUGUGGAUCUCCACGGGAUUUCUCCACACGCUGUGGGCUCCAUUCUGAGAGGGAACAUUCCCGGAAACUCAAGCAGACGCUGCAUGGCCUCUUUUGACCUGAUCUCCGGAGCCUCCCAACGCCAUGCCCACUGCAUGCUGAUAGUCAAGUGCCUGGGAGGAGCCCCCCUCGAGGGAGAAGAACCAGAUCCCGCCUUUCCCGUGAAGAGCGGAAUCGGCUUCCAAGGUGUUCGUGGCGGUCACCCCAGAGACCAUCCACCUCUUCCCCUCCCUUGACUGGGGACAUUCCCAUUUCACAGGGAAAUUGCAAGAAAUAAACAAGGUAAUGUACAGGAAGCUCACUA